GACGAACGCUGGCGGCGUGCCUAAUACAUGCAAGUCGAGCGCAGGAAGCUGACGGAACUCUUCGGAGGGAAGGCAGUGGAAUGAGCGGCGGACGGGUGAGUAACACGUAAGGAACCUGCCUCAAGGAUUGGGAUAACUCCGAGAAAUCGGAGCUAAUACCGGAUAGUUCAACGGACCGCAUGGUCCGCUGAUGAAAGGCGCUCCGGCGUCACCUUGAGAUGGCCUUGCGGUGCAUUAGCUAGUUGGUGGGGUAACGGCCCACUAAGGCGACGAUGCAUAGCCGACCUGAGAGGGUGAUCGGCCACACUGGGACUGAGACACGGCCCAGACUCCUACGGGAGGCAGCAGUAGGGAAUCUUCCACAAUGGACGAGAGUCUGAUGGAGCAACGCCGCGUGAGUGAUGAAGGUUUUCGGAUCGUAAAACUCUGUUGUAAGGAAAGAACACGUACGAGAGGGAAUGCUCGUACCUUGACGGUACCUUACGAGAAAGCCACGGCUAACUACGUGCCAGCAGCCGCAGUAACAC
rnacentral:rRNA from 1 species